AAAAAAAAGAUAAAAGGAGAAGACGAUGAAUCAUAUUUAACUUAGAAUAUUUUCCUUCUUUUUUUUUUCCUUUUCUUCUAUUCCAUUUUCUUUUUGAUUUGUGUAUU
rnacentral:sRNA from 1 species